rnacentral:rRNA from 1 species
UCCAGGUAAAUCCGGUUCACUUUAACACUGAGGCGUGACGACGAGGCACUACGGUGCUGAAGCAACAAAUGCCCUGCUUCCAGGAAAAGCCUCUAAGCAUCAGGUAACAUCAAAUCGUACCCCAAACCGACACAGGUGGUCAGGUAGAGAAUACCAAGGCGCUUGAGAGAACUCGGGUGAAGGAACUAGGCAAAAUGGUGCCGUAACUUCGGGAGAAGGCACGCUGACACGUAGGUGAAGUGAUUUACUCAUGGAGCUGAAGUCAGUCGAAGAUACCAGCUGGCUGCAACUGUUUAUUAAAAACACAGCACUGUGCAAACACGAAAGUGGACGUAUACGGUGUGACGCCUGCCCGGUGCCGGAAGGUUAAUUGAUGGGGUCAGCGCAAGCGAAGCUCCUGAUCGAAGCCCCGGUAAACGGCGGCCGUAACUAUAACGGUCCUAAGGUAGCGAAAUUCCUUGUCGGGUAAGUUCCGACCUGCACGAAUGGCGUAAUGAUGGCCAGGCUGUCUCCACCCGAGACUCAGUGAAAUUGAACUCGCUGUGAAGAUGCAGUGUACCCGCGGCAAGACGGAAAGACCCCGUGAACCUUUACUAUAGCUUGACACUGAACAUUGAGCCUUGAUGUGUAGGAUAGGUGGGAGGCUUUGAAGUGUGGACGCCAGUCUGCAUGGAGCCGACCUUGAAAUACCACCCUUUAAUGUUUGAUGUUCUAACGUGGACCCGUUACCCGGGUUGCGGACAGUGUCUGGUGGGUAGUUUGACUGGGGCGGUCUCCUCCUAAAGAGUAACGGAGGAGCACGAAGGUUGGCUAAUCCUGGUCGGACAUCAGGAGGUUAGUGCAAUGGCAUAAGCCAGCUUGACUGCGAGCGUGACGGCGCGAGCAGGUGCGAAAGCAGGUCAUAGUGAUCCGGUGGUUCUGAAUGGAAGGGCCAUCGCUCAACGGAUAAAAGGUACUCCGGGGAUAACAGGCUGAUACCGCCCAAGAGUUCAUAUCGACGGCGGUGUUUGGCACCUCGAUGUCGGCUCAUCACAUCCUGGGGCUGAAGUAGGUCCCAAGGGUAUGGCUGUUCGCCAUUUAAAGUGGUACGCGAGCUGGGUUUAGAACGUCGUGAGACAGUUCGGUCCCUAUCUGCCGUGGGCGCUGGAGAACUGAGGGGGGCUGCUCCUAGUACGAGAGGACCGGAGUGGACGCAUCACUGGUGUUCGGGUUGUCAUGCCAAUGGCACUGCCCG